UGUAACUAACCCCUGACACUCCAUCAGUCAUUGUUCCUUGCCAACUUACCUUCCAUCUCCCCUCCUUCCUUGCUGGUAGAGCCUCAACUGUGUUGAGUAUAUAACACACUCUCUCCCACCCCUUACAUGCUUCAGAGGAUGGCAGUCCUAGCCCACACUUCAGGUGAAAGUGCUGAUUGAUUUACGACAACCAGGGGAAGAGUUGUUCCCUUUGUCAGUGAUUGGUUUGGGAGUUGACAGGUGACUGACUCAGUUCUGGCUAAUAAGAGGAAAGGGCAGGUCUGCUGGGGGCUGGAUGUUCUGAAACCGGUUUUGAACUCCUAAGGGGACAUUGGAAAAGACAGAAUCUCUGGAUUUUAUGUUUCCUGGAUGUGAUGGCUGAAAUAACUGCAUCAUCCUGUGACCUGAAAUGGCAAAGUGGAGCUACUGAAGAACCAGGGUCCACGAUGACGUGAUUGAGCCUCUGAAUUAAGGAGCCUCGAACUGACCCUACCUCUGGACUUUUCAGGUGAUAGAAACACAAAGAGAGUUAACUCAAUGAAAGGUGAAGUUACAAGCAAACCACAAGAAGGGUGGAGCUGGCCUCAUGCAUGAAUGGGCCCAGGAGUGGCUUGUGACAUGUACACAAUCAGGGCUCUGCAGUUCGCAAGGCUUUUCCUGGAACUUUAUGCCUUCAGGUUUCCCUGCUUGGCGGGAACAUGGCUGCUGGCCACUUCCAAGUGACAGUCGCACAGCUCCUGACAAGUGAGAAAAGAGAGACUCUUCUUCAGCUUCUACAGAAAUGUCUUGGAGACGGCUCCUGACUGGUUGUGCUUGGGAUGCAUGCCCAUCCUUGGACCAGUUUCUGUGGCUGCAGUACCAUGAUUAGCCCAGCCCGCACUGUGUGUCUGCUCUUGUGAGAAGGGUGGAUAUAUUAAAGGAAAGAAUUCUGGACAGAAAGGAAAAGGGCUAUCUCAUCCUCCCAGGGCUUCUUUACAGGCUACUAGGUUAGUGUUGGAUAAAUAGUGGUCGUCUCCAAAUACCUAGAAAACUUAUGAACACAAACUAGUCUCUCACUGGUCACAAAUGAACACGCACACACAGUGCACCCUUACAAGCUCCUUCCCAAUUUCAGAACUCCAUGCAGACACCAUGGGAAGAGCUCCAGCACCCAUAUUUUAGACCUGGGAACUUUCCACUCCCAAGCCUUUUACUCACACUCCUUAUCUUGAUGAUUUCCAGAUAGCGUGGAGCUUUCUCCCUACAGAAAGAAUGUAGCAGAGAGAAAAUUCCACAUACCAACUCACGCAUUGCAACGUUCUCAACCGCGUACAGCCUUGGCCUCAGUAACAUGACUUUGCCUGCCUGCUUUGGGAUUGAGGAUUCUCACUUCUGAGCCACUUAGCCCCCACCCCUUCUUCAUAGCCCACUCAAACCUGUUCAAUCUCCAGCAUGGAAAAGAGCAAGAGGGCAGUGAUUGCUGUGGAACCUGGAUGUCCCGGGGACACAGGCUGCACAUGGCAAAGGCCCACAGAACAUUUAUCCUGCAGCUCACCUGUCCUCAUGUCAAAUGCAAGAGAGGCAAGACACAGAGGGAGCUACCCCUCCCUUCUUUUCCUUGUUUCCACAAACUAGUAAAUCAGACUGUGAAUAGUGACAUGCUAGAAACUAAAAGUGCUUAGUCCAGUUUCCACGUGGGUCUAUCAGCCCAGAAAAUGAUGCAGGAAUUCUCAGCCAAGCAUUGCUCACAGCAGCCCUAAGAUAAUUUUGAUAGCAGAUGCUCGGGGCUGUUAAAGGAGAGUUUCAGUUUAUCCACCUUAUACGAGGAUCAUGUGUAAAUUUUAUAAUUGGAAAAAUGGUUAUUAUCAACUUUAAAUAAGUUAUGUUAGUCUGAAAGUGUUGGUUUCUCCUUCACUGAAAUGCUUGUCUCAUUUAAGCAAGAGGGAAUAAUACCUCUGUUGAUAUGGAAAUCGUCUUUGACAUUAGAAGUGACUUCAACAAAAGGCUUUUUCAUGUCUCAAUGAAAAAGCAAACCAAAGAAUUCAAAAGAAUAAGAAUAUUUGAGGCUCAUCUUCUUUUCCUUCUGUCUUAGUUUCCUAUUGCUUUUGUAACAAAUUACCAACUCAAUGGCCUAAAACAACACACUGUAUUCCCUUAUGGCUCUGGAAGCCAAAAGUGAAAUCAGUUUCGAGAAGCUAAAGGUGGGGUGUCCAUGGGGCUGCUUCCUCCUGGACACUCUCCGGGAGAAUUAUUUCCUUCCCUUUUCUACUUAGGCUGCAUUCCUUGCAUUCUUUGGCUCAUGACCCCUUCCUCCAUCUGCAAACCCCACAGAGUAGCAUCUUCAAAUCUCCAUGUCUGUCCUCACAUGGCUUUCUCUCUGACUGACUUCUACAUCGUUUUACAAGGCCCCUGUGAGUACAUACAUCAGGCCCACCCAGGAUAAUCCGAGAUAAUCUCCCUACGUCAAGACUCUUAAUUUAAUCACACCUGCCAAGUCCCUUUUACCCUGGAAGGUAACAUAUAUGCAGGUUCUGAGGAUUAGGAUGAGGACAUCUUUGGGGACCACUGUUCAUUAUUCAUCCUAUCACACCCUUUUACUAAAUGAACAAUGUAAAUCGAGAGAGAAAUGACACAUCACAGGACAUUUACUUUAGAUUAGUGUGUAGGGGAGGAAGACAUUCCCUCUUCCCAAAUGUGGGUUCGUCUGGCCGGAGAACGAAUUAAAUUCACAUGAGACAGAAUAGCAAGAGAAAAUUAAACAAAGCUUUAUGAGGAACCAUGGCCCGGGGCCUUUCUUCCCGAAGGAAGAAAGGGCACUAAAGAAGUGGGGUGCACAUAGUGGUUAUAUACCCCCAAACAGGGUGUUUCACAUGUGAUUGAAAUGUCCCUCCCACAAUAGUCACAAGAUUGCCCUGUCGGCACAGUGCUUGAUGGACUCAGCAGGUAGUGGUCUGCUGUCUCAGAGGGCGUAGCCGGAGGCAAGUCUAUUGUCUUGAGCUGGGUGGUCACAGGUGAGCUCAGCAAUCAGUUCCUAGCCUAAGGAAAGAUGCUUAAUCCUUAAAGAAAUGCCAACGUUGGGAGGGGGAGGGAAGUCAGCUACAGGAGGUUACCAGACAAGCACAAUAAAAUGCAGAUUUUAAGUCCUUGCCUUUGGUAUUGAUUAAGAGUUUUUAGAGAGAAGGUCAUCUCCUCUCUUCUUCCUGGUACAGAGAGGGAGGCACCUUAUACAGAUAGAGAUUUACCUUACAAAUGUAAAUGUGUCCUAAGGAAGGGCAAGUUCCAUUCCUCAGAGCCUCCCUCCCUGUCCCAGUUUAUCAAAAGCAAUCAGCCUCAAAUAAUCCUGAUGCCAAAGAGACAUAUCUUGGGGUGGCCAAUUUCAGGUCCCCACAAGUGAAAAACAGUGCAAACAUGUAACACAUCAGGUACUCCUUGCUUAGCUCCAAAGUUUUUCUCUUAGAGUUUUGUUGCCUGAAAAAAUACACUAAGAAGUUUUAAAAAAUAACAAUGUAUAUAUACCCUCAGUACACCUGGAUUAAUUUUUUUUGUGUAUGUGUGUAUAUAUAUAUAUAUAUAUACACACACAUAUACAUAUAUAUAUGUAUACAUGUAUAUAUAUGUAUAUAUAUGUAUAUCCUUGUGAAACCAUACCCAGAACAAGAAAGGGAACAUUUCUAGCACCUCUGAAGUCUUCCUUAUGAUCUGGCCAGUCAAUAACCACCCUAGAAGCCUCUGUUCUGAUGGCUCCCACCACAGAUUAGUCUCUACCUGUUCUUUUUUGUUUUUUUUUAAAAACAUUGUGAUGGAGGACUUUUUAUUAUCAUCAUCAUUAUUAUAAUUUACUGAGGAAGAUUUGCCCUGAGCUAACAUCCAUUGCCAAUCUUCCUCUUUUUUUCUUUUUUUUUUUUUUUAAUGUGAGGCACCACCACAGCAUGGCUGCUAACAGACAAGUGGUGUAGGUCUGCACCCGGGAACUGAAUCCGGGCCGCCAAAGCAGAGCACACCAAACUUAACCACUAGGCAACCAGGGCUGGCCCACUACCUGUUCAUGAACAUACAAACAGAUGAACUCUCUUGUAUUUAGCUUCUUUUGCUCAAUAUAAUGUCUGUGAGCUCUAUGCACGUUGUUGCAGGAAGCAGUCACUCAUGCUUUCUUUCUCUUUCUUACUGUAUGGAAUUCCUUUGCAUGAAUACCUAACCAUUUAUCCAUUCUACUGUUGAUGGACAUUUGGCUUGUAGCCAUUUUGGAGCCAUUACGAAUAAAUCUACUAUGAACAUAUUUGUGAACAUUAGAAAAAGUUUUCAAUAGAAGGUUAAGAAAAGAAGCCAUCUUCUCCCGCCCUGGAGGAGACUUUGCAAUUUGGAUCAUCUGUUAAAAUUUGGAUCAAAUAUGCUCCCUUCCCACCCCCCAAACCAAGAAGUCUUCCCUCACCCCAGUGAAUACCAAUGAUUUUGGCCUCUGGACUCCCAUGUCUAUAUUUGUUAUGCUUCGAUCUCCCCACCUGGAAAAGAUAAUGAAGAUGAACAAUUUUUUGGAUUUCCUUUCAGAGAAAAUUUUUGUAUAUACUUCCAUGUAUAUACUUAUACUUGGU
rnacentral:lncRNA from 1 species